GGGGCUGUAUAGAUUCGACAGGAAAAGAGCCUAACAAUUUCAAGUCGAGUAGGUCACAUAUCUCGUAAAUACUUGUGGCAAAAAUAAGCAACAAAAAUGCUUAUCAACCUGCUUUAGCUGUAGCGUAAGCUUUAGUUUUAGCAGCGUCUUUUCAUUUGUUGACUGAAUGAAUGAAAAAGGCGUCACAAUUCAGUCUGCAUUCUAUCGAGAUAGCUUUCGUAGGUAGGAUUAAGAAAACCAAAGCACAAUUUACGCUUGUCAAUAAUUGUUAAAUCUUUUUUUGGACGCGAGAGCAUUGCUCGCCAGCUCCACCA
rnacentral:tmRNA from 1 species